GGACCCGCACAAGCGGUGGAUGAUGUGGAUUAAUUCGAUGCAACGCGAACAACCUUACCUACCCUUGACAUGUCCGGAACCCUGCUGAAAGGCGGGGGUGCCCGAAAGGGAAUCGGAACACAGGUGCUGCAUGGCUGUCGUCAGCUCGUGUCGUGAGAUGUUGGGUUAAGUCCCGCAACGAGCGCAACCCUUGUCCUUAGUUGCUACGCAAGGGCACUCUAAGGAGACUGCCGGUGACAAACCGGAGGAAGGUGGGGAUGACGUCAAGUCCUCAUGGCCCUUAUGGGUAGGGCUUCACACGUCAUACAAUGGUCGGUACAGAGGGUAGCCAACCCGCGAGGGGGAGCCAAUCCCAGAAAGCCGAUCGUAGUCCGGAUCGCAGUCUGCAACUCGACUGCGUGAAGUCGGAAUCGCUAGUAAUCGCGGAUCAGCAUGUCGCGGUGAAUACGUUCCCGGGUCUU
rnacentral:rRNA from 1 species